GUUUGGAGUAGAAAAGUAUUAAGAUCUGAAGCUCAUCUUAAAAAUGUCAAUAUUGAUUGGCGGAAUAGCCCACAACUUUAUAUAUUGAUUUGAGUUAAGAUAUUUAAUCAAUGUAUGAUUCAUUUCUCAAGAAGGAAGGUAAACUCAUUCAAUUAACAUCACUAAAAGGUAUAACAAAUUUUUCGAAAGAAUUACUUAUGUCGCCUUAAACCAGCAGACAUUAGACCUAGAGACCUCAUAUUCAAGACCCGAGCAUCACGAGAACACGAGGAUGCACUUAUUAUUGAUUGAAUUGAAUUCUUGAACCUAAAUCUGAACGCCUCUCCCACUAGCUUUUGGCUUUCCCAUCUCUUCACAACCACCUCUUUCUCC
rnacentral:lncRNA from 1 species